AGGGAAUCUUCCACAAUGGACGCAAGUCUGAUGGAGCAACGCCGCGUGAGUGAAGAAGGCUUUCGGGUCGUAAAACUCUGUUGUUGGAGAAGAAUGGUCGGCAGAGUAACUGUUGUCGGCGUGACGGUAUCCAACCAGAAAGCCACGGCUAACUACGUGCCAGCAGCCGCGGUAAUACGUAGGUGGCAAGCGUUAUCCGGAUUUAUUGGGCGUAAAGCGAGCGCAGGCGGUUUUUUAAGUCUGAUGUGAAAGCCCUCGGCUUAACCGAGGAAGCGCAUCGGAAACUGGGAAACUUGAGUGCAGAAGAGGACAGUGGAACUCCAUGUGUAGCGGUGAAAUGCGUAGAUAUAUGGAAGAACACCAGUGGCGAAGGCGGCUGUCUGGUCUGUAACUGACGCUGAGGCUCGAAAGCAUGGGUAGCGAACAGGAUUAGAUACCCUGGUAGUCCAUGCCGUAAACGAUGAAUGCUAGGUGUUGGA
rnacentral:rRNA from 1 species